CAAGUCGAACGGCAGCGCGGGGGCUUCGGUCUCUGGCGGCGAGUGGCGGACGGGUGAGUAAUAUAUGGGAACGCGCCCGGCGGCGGGGGAUAACUCUGGGAAACCAGAGCUAAUACCGCAUGCGUUUCGCCUUUCGGGGCGAAAGAAAGCGGGGGACUUCUUCGGAGGCCUCGCACCGGCGGAGCGGCCCAUAUCCGAUUAGCUUGUUGGCGGGGUAACAGCCCACCAAGGCCGCGAUCGGUAGCUGGUCUGAGAGGACGGACAGCCACACCGGGACUGAGACACGGCCCGGACUCCUACGGGAGGCAGCAGUGGGGAAUAUUGGACAAUGGGGGCAACCCUGAUCCAGCAAUGCCGCGUGUGUGAAGAAGGCCUUCGGGUUGUAAAGCACUUUCGCGGGGGAAGAAAAAGCGAGGGGUAAUAUCUCUCGCGCCUGACGGUACCCCGAGAAGAAGCACCGGCUAACUACGUGCCAGCAGCCGCGGUAAUACGUAGGGUGUGAGCGUUAAUCGGAAUUACUGGGCGUAAAGCGUGCGCAGGCGGCCUGUCAAGUCGGGUGUGAAAUCCCCGGGCUCAACCCGGGAAUUGCGCUUGAAACCGGCGGGCUAGAGUACGGCAGAGGAAGGUGGAAUUCCGUGUGUAGCGGUGAAAUGCGUAGAUAUACGGAAGAACACUCAUGGCGAAGGCAUCCUUCUG
rnacentral:rRNA from 1 species